UAGAAAGGGCGCACGGUGGAUGCCUUGGCACUAGGAGCCGAAGAAGGACGGGACUAACACCGAUAUGCUUUGGGGAGCUGUACGUAAGCGUUGAUCCAGAGAUUUCCGAAUGGGGGAACCCACUAUCUUUAGUCGGAUAGUAUCCUUACGUGAAUACAUAGCGUGAGGAAGGCAGACCCAGGGAACUGAAACAUCUAAGUACCUGGAGGAAGAGAAAGAAAAAUCGAUUUCCUGAGUAGCGGCGAGCGAAACGGAAAGAGCCCAAACCAAGAAGCUUGCUUCUUGGGGUUGUAGGACACUCUAUACGGAGUUACAAAAGAAAGUUAUAAAUGAAGCGGUCUGGAAAGGCCCGCCAAAGACGGUAACAGCCCGGUAGUUGAAAUGGCUUUCCCUCCAGAGUGGAUCCUGAGUACGGCGGAACACGUGAAAUUCCGUCGGAAUCCGGGAGGACCAUCUCCCAAGGCUAAAUACUCCCUAGUGACCGAUAGUGAACCAGUACCGUGAGGGAAAGGUGAAAAGCACCCCGGAAGGGGAGUGAAACAGUUCCUGAAACCGUGUGCCUACAAGUAGUUAGAGCCCGUUAAUGGGUGAUAGCGUGCCUUUUGUAGAAUGAACCGGCGAGUUACGAUUUGUUGCAAGGUUAAGCGGAAAAAGCGGAGCCGUAGCGAAAGCGAGUCUGAAUAGGGCGCAUAAGUAACAGGUCGUAGACCCGAAACCAGGUGAUCUACCCAUGUCCAGGAUGAAGGUAAGGUAAUACUUACUGGAGGUCCGAACCCACGCACGUUGAAAAGUGCGGGGAUGAGGUGUGGGUAGCGGAGAAAUUCCAAUCGAACUUGGAGAUAGCUGGUUCUCUCCGAAAUAGCUUUAGGGCUAGCCUCGAGGUAAAGAGUCAUGGAGGUAGAGCACUGUUUGGACUAGGGGCCCUUCUCGGGUUACCGAAUUCAGAUAAACUCCGAAUGCCAUGUACUUAUACUCGGGAGUCAGACUGCGAGUGAUAAGAUCCGUAGUCGAAAGGGAAACAGCCCAGACCACCAGUUAAGGUCCCCAAAUAUAUG
rnacentral:rRNA from 1 species